GAGGGUAUAGCUCAGUGGUAGAGUGCGUGUCUAGCAGGCAAAAGGUCCUGGGUUCAAUCCCCAGCAACUCCA
rnacentral:tRNA from 1 species